rnacentral:lncRNA from 1 species
UGUGAUGAAUAACCUAUAUAAUGAAAAGUCCUUGAGUCUAGUUUUCAACUCUUUAAAUCGUUUUCCAUUUAGACAUUCCUACACAAAGUUAAGGUAAAAUUACCAAAUGCUAAAAAAAUGCGAUCCUGUGUCACAUAUGUGAUCGCAAAAACCAUUAUGCGGUCCGCAUACUUGAUUUGUGAUCACAGAUCUGAUUGCAAAAUAGAUUAGUGAAGCUAGUUUUAGGCAUUGAGUUUUGCGAUACAUUUCCGGCCAGCUUUCCCAUUAUGCGACCGCAAACCUGCAUCCGUAGGGUUAAUUAUCCUUGUCAUACCUCUUUUUUACACACCACCCCAAAGGUGGUAUAAGGGAAUUUUUUCAGUUUAAGUAACAUUAUUCGAAAUGAGAUUAUUUAUUUAUUAGAGUUGCCACUUGGGAUAAGUUUGGCUUUUGGUGUUCCGAGUCACCAAUUUAUCUUGAAUCCCAAAUCGAGGAACUUUUUGACUUUCUAAGUGAAGUCUGCGAGCAGAAAUUCUUGAGUAAGGAAUUUUGUUAGCCCGAGGGAAAGUGUUAGGCACAUUCGGAUUUCGUG